AACGAACGCUGGCGGCAGGCUUAACACAUGCAAGUCGAACGCCCCGCAAGGGGAGUGGCAGACGGGUGAGUAACGCGUGGGAAUCUACCCAGAUCUACGGAACAACAGUUGGAAACGACUGCUAAUACCGUAUACGCCCUACGGGGGACAGAUUUAUCGGAUUUGGAUGAGCCCGCGUAAGAUUAGCUAGUUGGUGGGGUAAUGGCCUACCAAGGCGACGAUCUUUAGCUGGUCUGAGAGGAUGAUCAGCCACACUGGGACUGAGACACGGCCCAGACUCCUACGGGAGGCAGCAGUGGGGAAUAUCGGACAAUGGGCGCAAGCCUGAUCCAGCCAUGCCGCGUGAGUGAUGAAGGCCUUAGGGUUGUAAAGCUCUUUCAGUAGGGAAGAUAAUGACGGUACCUACAGAAGAAGCCCCGGCUAACUUCGUGCCAGCCGCCGCCGUAACAC
rnacentral:rRNA from 1 species